GACGAACGCUGGCGGUGUGCUUAACACAUGCAAGUCGAACGGUAAGGCCCUUCGGGGUACACGAGUGGCGAACGGGUGAGUAACACGUGGGUGAUCUGCCCUGCACUUCGGGAUAAGCCUGGGAAACUGGGUCUAAUACCGGAUAGGACCACUGCCUGCAUGGGUGGUGGUGGAAAGCUUUUGCGGUGUGGGAUGGGCCCGCGGCCUAUCAGCUUGUUGGUGGGGUGAUGGCCUACCAAGGCGACGACGGGUAGCCGGCCUGAGAGGGUGACCGGCCACACUGGGACUGGGAUACGGCCCAGACUCCUACGGGGGGCAGCAGUGGGGAAUAUUGCACAAUGGGCGCAAGCCUGAUGCAGCGACGCCGCGUGAGGGAUGACGGCCUUCGGGUUGUAAACCUCUUUCAGCACCGACGAAGCGCAAGUGACGGUAGGUGCAGAAGAAGGACCGGCCAACUACGUGCCAGCCGCCGCCGUAA
rnacentral:rRNA from 1 species